GACAGAGGGUGCAAACGUUGUUCGGAAUUACUGGGCGUAAAGCGCGUGUAGGCGGCUUCGCAAGUCGGAUGUGAAAUCCCACGGCUCAACCGUGGAAGUGCAUUCGAAACUGCAAGGCUAGAGUUCUGGAGAGGAAGGUGGAAUGCUUGGUGUAGAGGUGAAAUUCGUAGAUAUCAAGCGGAACACCGGUGGCGAAGGCGGCCUUCUGGACAGUAACUGACACUGAGGCACGAAGGCCAGGGGAGCAAACGGG
rnacentral:rRNA from 1 species